rnacentral:lncRNA from 1 species
GGCAGUCCAGCCGCAGGGGCCACCCGAACAGUCUCUCCUCCUCACAGAAGCCUGGAGCUGGGCAUCCAAGAAGAAGCAGCCUCAUUUGUUUUCUGGUGUCAUCGUAGGUGGCCACCUAUGGCUUUUGGGAAUGUAAAAAGGGCAGCUCUCUGGCAUGUUCCUGACUGAGGAUCUCAUAACAUUUAACUUGAGGAACUUCCUCCUUUUCCAGCUUUGGGAGUCAAGACCAAAAAGAAGAAUGUACUUCAUCUGGUUGGGCUGGAUUCCCUCUGAUAAGCCUUCCCAGUUGACUGAAAGAUGAGGCUAGGCUCUAGCAAGUUGAAGUCAAACCAGCUCCUUCAAGAAGCUUUGAGCAGAAUGAAGUGGGGAGGACCCAGCUUCCAGCCCAGGAAGCCCACUGUACCUGGAGCCAUCUGGGAUAAGACUUUGACCCAUGACUCCCAUAUCCACAGCCUGUCCAUCCUAGCCCAUCCCAGUUUAUCCUGUAUCAUUUGAGCUGGGAUUCCCACAUCCUCUGAGUUGGAAGUCCCAUCUCAAGUCUUCAAUAAAGACUCUUGAAUAUUGAAUCACA